UACGAAGGGGGCUAGCGUUGCUCGGAAUUACUGGGCGUAAAGCGCACGUAGGCGGAUUGUUAAGUCGGGGGUGAAAUCCUGGAGCUCAACUCCAGAACUGCCUUCGAUACUGGCGAUCUCGAGUUCGGGAGAGGUGAGUGGAACUGCGAGUGUAGAGGUGAAAUUCGUAGAUAUUCGCAAGAACACCAGUGGCGAAGGCCGCUCACUGGCCCGAUACUGACGCUGAGGUGCGAAAGCGUGGGGAGCAAACAGG
rnacentral:rRNA from 1 species